AGCUCCGUAGAGAAUUUUCGCUUGAAAUGUUGAAAAGCAAGCCCAGUUUUCUAUGGGAAUAUACCGUAAUUAAUACAAUAUUACCGAGUUCAAUGGUGCAUAAGUUAGGCGGUGGAUCAUUUUGCUGCAUUUUACAUUGAUGACCACAUAGUAUGAAGGGUAAAGGGAAGAAUAUGGGAAGCCAGGAUAAAGAUUGUCCAUUACAGUACCCAGACUUCUUACCAGUUGACCACACCAAGUUAUGUCCAAGAUAUACUGCAGUCCUCCAACGGGACAAAGAUGACAGUGUAUCUAUUGUGGAACUUGAUUCACUGCAGACAGAGAUGGAAACUCUGUUCUCCUCAGUGGCAAAGAGAAUGCGACUACUAGAGGGAGAGGUGCAGAUCCUAACCAAUUGGCAAGAUAGGGCUUCUGGAAAGAAAGGAGGAAAAGGGACACCAUCACCUUGUCCAUCCCCAUCGGGCAAACGAGGUAAAGGAAGUGAUGAAAGACCAAGUAAGAAAUUUAAAAGUGAUGGUGGAAAGGGUGGUCCAAGUCGAGGUGGAAAAAAUAGAUCAAGUCAGCCAGCCAAAAUUCUAGACUAUAGUUAUGCAGAAUCUCCAAUAAAUGAUCUACCAAAACUUCCAAAGAACGAGGCUAGCAGAUUCUGGACUGCCGUGGAGCCAUAUUGUGCUGACAUCACAAACAAUGAUCUAAAGGUGCUUCAAGACUUGCUCCAGUGCCAGGAGGAUGACUCUGAUUAUUACAAAAUUCCUCCUCUAGGCAAGCACUAUUCUCAGAAGUGGUCUCAGGAUGACAUGUUCGAGGAACAAAAAGAAGGUGCCAAAAUCACAGAUAAACGUCUGAGUAGUUCGAGUACAAGUGCAAUAAGCGAUGAAUCCUCUACUUUGCUCAGUAGAACAGAGAAUAACAUGGACAUAGAAGAAUCCUCCCCAUUUGGUCCUCUUACUCAGAGAUUGGUGUCAGCCUUGAUUGAAGAAAACAUCAUGGCCCCAAUGGAGGACUCCAAUGAGAUAGAAAACCAAGAGGCCAUAGAGGCGAAUGCAGCAAUGUCCCCCAAGUCACUUGCAAAACAGCUGAACAUCGGGAACACAGUCAUGCUUGAGCGUAGGAUACGUCGAGAGCUUGAAGAGCAAGGUAUCCUAGAGGCAGAUGAUGUCCUAGAUUCUGACCCUGAAGAUGAAAUCCUCCAAGAACUGAAGAAAAAACAAAGUGAACUAAAGGCAGUGACGCAACAUAAUACUCUUGUUACUAAAAAGCUGCUAAGGCUUGCUAAGGAUGAAAUGGAACGUCAGGAGUUAAGAAAAAAGAUGGCAGCAGCUGAUUUAGAGGUAAUGGAGACAUGGAGAAAAAUACAAAAUGCCAGACAAAAGAAAAAGGUUCUCACAAAGAAAGAAAAGGAAGUUGCAUUUAAAGUUCUUAAAGAGAGAGAGACAAUAGUUAAACAGCUGGAGCUGUCAUAUGCAAUGUGAAUUGCUUCCAUAUGUGUGUAUGUACAUAUUGUAUGUAUGUGUGUAGCAGACAGUGCACUCUAGCAGCAAAUAAUGUCUACAAUGCAACAUUUGAGACUCACUUUCUCGACAGGUUUAUACUGAUAGGACUCUUACAUAGUGUGGCCAUAAAAUAUUUGAACUGCCAUAUUAGGCACCCACCAACCAGGAAAUUACCACCCAACAUGAUUAAAUGAUGAUUCACAAAUAUCAAGGGACAUAGAUGUGGGAACAAAGAAUGAAGAAACAGUGUGAAAAUUUUGCAAAUCAAUAGUCAUCCCACCUAUGGCCGUCAAUCAUUUUUCUCAUUCACUUUAUUCACUUUACCAAUAUGCGUUCAUUAGUUUAUGAUAUUGCUAUUGCGAUAAAGAAACCUGUUUAUUAAUGAUUUCCUCCAAUAAAUGAUACAAUUGAACAACUGGCUAUUAGACAAUGCACAGUUUAUCUGCAUGUCUCAUAUUAAACUCAGGCAAAAUCACCUCCUUGUUGAAAUUUGAAACUUUCCUUAUUUAGUGCCAUUGGUUGCAUAUCAUUGAACUAAAUGUGUAAUAGUAAAAGGCCACUAGAAUACUAGAAUAUUUUACUUAUAUGGUGUCAAAUGUUAGAAAUGUAAAAACAUAAUUUCAUUAGGAACAUUCUAUUGAAUUAUACUAGAAUAUUUAACAUAUAUGUGAUUUGUUCAGAUGUAGGAAUUUAAGCUAAUAGUCUUAAAACUGAAAUAUUGACCAUGAAAUUACAAAAUAUGUACUGCAUAAGUGGACAUUUUAUUAAGUUAAGAUUAGAUCAGAUGCAAUGACACAUCAAUACAACUAAUGAAGUAAAAUGUGAAUGAAUCAACAUGACUAUAUAAGGGAGAAGGAACUAAAUCAAAUAAGAAUUUGUUACUUUUUAUCAAUGCUGAUUUUGUGUAGGAGAAGGUUUAAAAGGCCAGAUUAAGUCAAAGGAAAUAUUUUCGAAAUUGAAUGGGUGAUAAUGUUAUAACUCAUUCUUCCAUAUUAAUGGGGGAGCUUUCUUUGAAUAAGUUUUACUAAAAAUAAACAUUGAUAUUGUUCCUUGGCUAAUAGUUCCUAGUAGAUUGUACAUAUUGAUGUAAGUAAAUCAGAAAUAUUAUAGAAACAAUAUAUCAUAUGCAUAAACAAAAUAAAAUUGUUCAGCUUUUGUUACCUAUCCAACAAGGAUAGAUAGAAUGUUUUACACAUCACUUAUCACUGUUCCACAGCUUGAUGACUUACUGCAGUUAGUAUCAUUCGAGAUGGUGGCCAAAAUUAUUUCAUUUUCUAUAAACC
rnacentral:misc_RNA from 1 species